UGGGGAAUAUUGCACAAUGGGGGAAACCCUGAUGCAGCGACGCCGCGUGAAGGAAGAAGUAUCUCGGUAUGUAAACUUCUAUCAGCAGGGAAGAUAGUGACGGUACCUGACUAAGAAGCCCCGGCUAACUACGUGCCAGCAGCCGCGGUAAUACGUAGGGGGCAAGCGUUAUCCGGAUUUACUGGGUGUAAAGGGAGCGUAGACGGUGUGGCAAGUCUGAUGUGAAAGGAAUGGGCUCGACCUGUGGACUGCAUUGGAAACUGUCAUACUUGAGUGCCGGAGGGGUAAGCGGAAUUCCUAGUGUAGCGGUGAAAUGCGUAGAUAUUAGGAGGAACACCAGUGGCGAAGGCGGCUUACUGGACGGUAACUGACGUUGAGGCUCGAAAGCGUGGGGAGCAAACAGG
rnacentral:rRNA from 1 species